GUGUCAGCCGCCGCGGUAAUACGUAGGUGGCAAGCGUUGUCCGGAUAAAUUGGGCGUAAAGCGAGCGCAGGCGGUUUAAUAAGUCUGAAGUUAAAGGCAGUCCCUUAACCAUUGUUCGCUUUGGAAACUGUUAGACUUGAGUGCAGAUGGAGAGAGUGGAAUUCCAUGUGUAGCGGUGAAAUGCGUAGAUAUAUGGAGGAACACCGGUGGCGAAAGCGGCUCUCUGGUCUGUAACUGACGCUGAGGCUCGAAAGCGUGGGGAGCAAACAGGAUUAGAAACCCCGGUAGUCC
rnacentral:rRNA from 1 species